GAUAAUAAGGCGAGCGAGCAUGGUUAUAUAACUGGAGGGGAAGGAGCAAUACUGCUCAGGGCCUGAGGGUGGCAGGAUGUAACCAAUUAGACUGGAGCUGGUACGGAAAACAGAAAGAAGAAGGGGGAAAAUGGAGCCCAGGGUUUUGUGGCAGAGACAGACAACAUUUCACAAACCCAGCAUCCGAAGAACACUUCAGGAUGCUGAAUGACAGCGGAAGCCUCAUCACAGAUGUGACUGAAAGCUAACUGCUCCAAAUGGGGUUUAGGCCAAGAAGCCAGAUUCAUUGCCUGAAGGCUUUCUCCUACAAGAGAUUGGAUGAGUGAUCAAGAGUAAUAUGGAUCCUGAAAGUCAGACUUCUUGCCUGAACAACUAGUGGGUAUGGAUGGCACUCCAGAAAAGCCCAAGAAAAUGGCUCCAUAAGACUCCCUCUCAAUGGGUAAGCUUGGAUUUCAUAAAAGCUUCCAAAGAGGAUACCACAAGAGCUUUGGGUGCUAUAACAAAUGGACAACAAUGAUUUCCUCAAAGUGUCUGUGAAGAUGGCUUUCAAAAAGUAGCCCCAGAUCCACAAACUGUCAGAUAAUAUCCUUUUCACGAGGCACAACUGUUUAUAAAUGUCAUAUUUGCACAAGAACUGAGCCUCAACUACACUCAUUCCUGUGACACUAGAUGACGCAAGUCAAAUAUGUUCCUGUAUCCUUCUUCACCCACAUAGCUGUCACAGGGCCCCUUUGAAUCAGGUAUAUUAAUAAAGUGAUUGAAAUGGUGAGAAAA